AUCAACGCUGGCGGCGUGCCUAACACAUGCAAGUCGAACGCGAAAGCCCCUUCGGGGGCAAGUAGAGUGGCGUCCGGGUGAGUAACACGUGGGUAAUCUACCUCCGGGUGGGGAAUAACUCGCCGAAAGGCGGGCUAAUACCGCAUAAUGCAGCGGCACCGAAUGGUGAUUAGUUGUUAAAGCGGGGGACCUUAGGGCCUCGCGUCUGGAGAGGAGCCUGCGGCAGAUUAGCUUGUUGGAGGGUAAUGGCCUACCAAGGCUGCGAUCUGUAGCUGGUCUGAGAGGACGGCCAGCCACACUGGCACUGACACACGGGCCAGACUCCUACGGGAGGCAGCAGUGGGGAAUUUUGGGCAAUGGGCGAAAGCCUGACCCAGCAACGCCGCGUGAAGGAGGAAAUCC
rnacentral:rRNA from 1 species